UACGUAGGGUGCAAGCGUUGUCCGGAAUUAUUGGGCGUAAAGAGCUCGUAGGCGGCUCGUUGCGUCGGCUGUGAAAACCCGCAGCUCAACUGUGGGCUUGCAGCCGAUACGGGCGGGCUGGAGUUCGGUAGGGGAGACUGGAAUUCCUGGUGUAGCGGUGAAAUGCGUAGAUAUCGAGAGGAACACCUGCGGCGAAGGCGGGUUGCUGGGCUGAUACUGACGCUGAGGCGCGAAAGCCAGGGGAGCGAACGGG
rnacentral:rRNA from 1 species